rnacentral:lncRNA from 1 species
GGAGCUGUUCACGUCGUAUUUUGCCUUUUGAGGAACUCCAGACCCAGGCCACGUCUCUUCACUGUGGGGAAAAAAAGCCACUUGUGAAAAACUUAUCCCCCGUGGCAUGGACUGCGUAGGAGACAGUGAAUGAAAGAAGCGACCAACCUCAGCAUGAACUAAACCGAGAGACCAGGGUCAGAGGCCAGGCUCUCUGUCUGGUGGAGACUGCCCAACCGCUGCUUCUGAAACAGCAGAGACAUCUGAUACACACAGAGGUCUUUUGUGAAUGGCCUUUGUUUGUUUUUUGGGAGCUGUGUGGAGGGCACGACACUUUUUUUGAUGGCAAUCAGAGCAGGGGCUGAGACCAACCUUGGUUGAUAUGGUGCC